AGGCUCCUCUUCCAGCCUUUCCUGACCUCUCUGCCUUUCUUUGUGCCCCAGAUGAGUUUCCUGCUCCCCCGAAGCCCCCGAAGGCCUCAGACCUGGAUGACGGGCUCGGAUUCCUGCCAACCUUCGGCCCCUGCUACAUCAACCUCUACGGGAGCCCCCGGGAAUUCACGGGAUUCCCCGAUCCCUACGAGACCCUCAACCUGGGAAAGGGAGAGGGCGUUGCCUACCGUGGCAGGGUGCUGGUGGAGCUGGAGACCAAACUGGUGGAGCACCUGGAGCAGA